AUGAUUAAUCUUUUUUGGAAUAUCAAGGGAGUUGCUAAAGCUCCGCCGAGAUUAACACUUAAGAGGCUCAUCAAUCUUCACAAGCCCGAUUUUAUUUUCAUUCCUGAACCCAAAAUGAGUUACAAAAAUUUUCCUAUCAACUGGUUUUCCAACCUUGGUUUUCGCUUUUUUGCUUUCAGCACCAACCCUUUACCUUCUCUCUGGUGUUUUUGCAGGAAGGAUCUUCAUUUUAUUCUUCAGACCACAUAA